rnacentral:rRNA from 1 species
CUUGAUGUGUAGGAUAGGUGGGAGGCUUUGAAGCGUGGACGCCAGUCUGCGUGGAGCCGACCUUGAAAUACCACCCUUUAAUGUUUGAUGUUCUAACGUGGACCCGUAAUCCGGGUUGCGGACAGUGUCUGGUGGGUAGUUUGACUGGGGCGGUCUCCUCCUAAAGAGUAACGGAGGAGCACGAAGGUUGGCUAAUCCUGGUCGGACAUCAGGAGGUUAGUGCAAUGGCAUAAGCCAGCUUGACUGCGAGCGUGACGGCGCGAGCAGGUGCGAAAGCAGGUCAUAGUGAUCCGGUGGUUCUGAAUGGAAGGGCCAUCGCUCAACGGAUAAAAGGUACUCCGGGGAUAACAGGCUGAUACCGCCCAAGAGUUCAUAUCGACGGCGGUGUUUGGCACCUCGAUGUCGGCUCAUCACAUCCUGGGGCUGAAGUAGGUCCCAAGGGUAUGGCUGUUCGCCAUUUAAAGUGGUACGCGAGCUGGGUUUAGAACGUCGUGAGACAGUUCGGUCCCUAUCUGCCGUGGGCGCUGGAGAACUGAGGGGGGCUGCUCCUAGUACGAGAGGACCGGAGUGGACGCAUCACUGGUGUUCGGGUUGUCAUGCCAAUGGCACUGCCCGGUAGCUAAAUGCGGAAGAGAUAAGUGCUGAAAGCAUCUAAGCACGAAACUUGCCCCGAGAUGAGUUCUCCCUGAGACUUAGAGUCUCCUGAAGGAACGUUGAAGACGACGACGUUGAUAGGCCGGGUGUGUAAGCGCAGCGAUGCGUUGAGCUAACCGGUACUAAUGAACCGUGAGGCUUAACCUUAC